rnacentral:misc_RNA from 1 species
GCUCCGUUGGUGAACCAGCGGAGGGAUCAUUACCGAGUUUACAACUCCCAAACCCCUAUGUGAACGUUACCAAACUGUUGCCUCGGCGGGAAAUUCAUGCCCCGGGCGCGUCGCAGCCCCGGACCAAGGCGCCCGCCGGAGGACCAACCAAAACUCUUUUGUAUGUCCCUCGCGGACAUUUAUAAUUCUGAACCAUCUCGGCGCCCCUAGCGGGCGUUUCGAAAAUGAAUCAAAACUUUCAACAACGGAUCUCUUGGUUCUG